rnacentral:misc_RNA from 1 species
UCCUUCUACCCUUUCUCCUUCUGGAAUGGUUUGACGCCUUAGAAAUAGGGUGCCUCCCCUUAAUUGUGAAAGAUUUGUGGAGUUUUUGAAUUUGGAAUAGCACCUUUUCUUAAAUUUCAUUUAUUUCUCUCCAAUUUUUUGCCCUAGUUUCAUUCUAUAAGGCUUCCCUCUUUUCAUUGUUAACGUUGAAAGAAAAAAUUGAAAAAUCUUAGCUUUGUAGACCGAAAGAAAAAGAGCAGCGCCGGUGAAAUGGAUACAAGACACAUAUCAAAG